GACGAACGCUGGCGGCGUGCCUAACACAUGCAAGUCGAGCGGGGUUGAAGCGAGGGGUAACUCGAGUUUCUACCUAGCGGCGGACGGGUGAGUAACGCGUGGGCAACCUGCCUCAAGGACUGGGAUAACAGCUCGAAAGGGCUGCUAAUACCGGAUAUGCCUGUGGCCUCGCAUGGGGCUAUGAGCAAAGGGGAAACCCGCCUUGAGAUGGGCCCGCGUCCCAUCAGCUAGUUGGUGAGGUGAAGGCUCACCAAGGCGACGACGGGUAGCCGGCCUGAGAGGGUGACCGGCCACACUGGGACUGAGACACGGCCCAGACUCCUACGGGGGGGCAGCAGUGGGGAAUCUUGCACAAUGGGCGAAAGCCUGAUGCAGCGACGCCGCGUGAGCGAAGAAGGCCUUCGGGUUGUAAAGCACUUUGUCACGGGAAGAGGAAGGACGGUACCGUGCGAAUAAGCCUCGGCUAACUACGUGCCAGCAGCCGCGGUAAGUCUGUAGUCGU
rnacentral:rRNA from 1 species